GCCGCCUUAGCUCAGUGGUAGAGCACUUCCAUGGUAAGGAAGGGGUCAUGAGUUCAAAUCUCAUAGGCGGCU
rnacentral:tRNA from 1 species